rnacentral:rRNA from 1 species
CAGUCGCCGCGGUAAUACAGAGGGUGCGAGCGUUAAUCGGAUUUACUGGGCGUAAAGCGUGCGUAGGCGGCUUCUAAAGUCGGAUGUGAAAUCCCUGAGCUUAACUUAGGAAUUGCAUUCGAUACUGGGAAGCUAGAGUAUGGGAGAGGAUGGUAGAAUUCCAGGUGUAGCGGUGAAAUGCGUAGAGAUCUGGAGGAAUACCGAUGGCGAAGGCAGCCAUCUGGCCUAAUACUGACGCUGAGGUACUAAAGCAUGGGGAGCAAACAGGAUUAGAUACCCGCGUAGUCCCUGUCUCUUAUAC